UCUAUAAAUUCAUCCUACCCGUGAAUCCGUCCUACUUACGCUCACCGCGCAUGUGCUUCUGAAUAUUUUUCCACUUUUGCGGAACGCCCAUAAAUCCGUGCUGCUCUUGUGGUUAACGUUACCUGCGAAAUGGAGAAUAAAUGGACAGAGAUUUAUGAUUUUCUUUCUGUGGGAUCAUACCCAUCUGGAUUCGAGAAAGCACAAAAGCAAAAUUUAAGAAGAUAUGCCUCAAAAUUUACUCUAAAGGAUGGAGAACUUCAAUAUGGAACAAGGAGAGUGAUCAAAACAAAAGAGGAGGCCAGGUCAAUCUUCAGUGAGUUCCAUUCAUCACCUUUGGGAGGGCACACCGGGAUCAACAAGACACGGAAUGCCAUAUGUUCCAGAUUCUACUGGUAUGGCAUGUCAGUGGACAUUGAAAACUGGAUCUUGGAAUGUGAUGAGUGCCAAAAGGUAGGGAGGCCUUUGACAGCUGUACAGACACUGGAGUGUAUUAAGGUGUCUGCUGUGUGGGAGCUGGUUGGAAUAGAUUUGACUGGACCAUUGCCUAAAACCACUGAUGGCUACCAGUAUAUCCUUACAGCGACAGAUUACUUCUCUAAAUGGGUUGAAGCAUUUCCUUUGAAAGGAAAGUCUGCAACUGAAGUUGGAAGGCAUCUCUGUUCCAUGAUUUACAGACACGG